rnacentral:tRNA from 11 species
GGUUCCGUGGUCUAGCUGGUUAUGGCAUCUCGUUAACACCGAGAAGGUCCCCGGUUCGAGCCCGGGCGGAAUCA